rnacentral:rRNA from 1 species
UACGGAGGGUGCGAGCGUUAAUCGGAAUUACUGGGCGUAAAGCACACGCAGGCGGUUUGUUAAGCUAGAUGUGAAAGCCCCGGGCUCAACCUGGGAUGGUCAUUUAGAACUGGCAGACUAGAGUCUUGGAGAGGGGAGUGGAAUUCCAGGUGUAGCGGUGAAAUGCGUAGAUAUCUGGAGGAACAUCAGUGGCGAAGGCGACUCCCUGGCCAAAGACUGACGCUCAUGUGCGAAAGUGUGGGUAGCGAACAGG